CCUCGGGAGGCAGCAGUGGGGAAUAUUGGACAAUGGGCGCGAGCCUGAUCCAGCCAUGCCGCGUGAGUGAUGAAGGCCUUAGGGUUGUAAAGCUCUUUUGCCAGGGAAGAUAAUGACUGUACCUGGAGAAUAAGCCCCGGCUAACUUCGUGCCAGCAGCCGCGGUAAUACGAAGGGGGCUAGCGUUGUUCGGAAUCACUGGGCGUAAAGCGCACGUAGGCGGACUUUUAAGUCAGGGGUGAAAGCCUGAGGCUCAACCUCAGAACUGCCCUUGAUACUGGGAGUCUUGAGUAUGGUAGAGGUUGGUGGAACAGCAAGUGUAGAGGUGAAAUUCGUAGAUAUUUGCUAGAACACCAGUGGCGAAGGCGGCCAACUGGACCAUAACUGACGCUGAGGUGCGAAAGCGUGGGGAGCAAACAGGAUUAGAUACCCUGGUAGUCCACGCCGUAAACGAUGGAUGCUAGCCGUUAGCCAGCUUGCUGGGUAGUGGCGCAGGUAACCCUUUAAGCAUCCCGCCUGGGGAGUACGGUCGCAAGNUUAAAACUCAAAAUGAAUUGACGG
rnacentral:rRNA from 1 species